rnacentral:rRNA from 1 species
GACGAACGCUGGCGGCGUGCCUAAUACAUGCAAGUAGAACGCAGUUGCGAACGGGUGAGUAACGCGUAGGUAACUGCCUGGUAGCGGGGGAUAACUAUUGGAAACGAUAGCUACUACCGCAUACUACCAGAUGGACCUGCGUUGUAUUAGCUAGUUGGUGGGGUAACGUCUCACCAAGGCAACGAUACAUAGCCGACCUGAGAGGGGGAUAGGCCAAACUGGGACUGAGAAACGGCACAGACUCCUACGGGAGGCAGGAGUAGGGAAUCUGCGGCAAUGGACGGAAGGAUGAACGAGCAAAGCCGCGGGAGUGAAGAAGGUGUUCGGAUCGUAAAGCUCUGUUGUAAGAGAAGCGGUAUCUUACCAGAAAGGGACGGCUAACUACGUGCCAGCCGCCGCGGUAAUAC